rnacentral:rRNA from 1 species
UGAACGCUGGCGGCGUGCCUAACACAUGCAAGUCGAGCGGUAACAGGCGUAGCAAUACGUGCUGACGAGCGGCGGACGGGUGAGUAAUGCUUGGGAAUCUUCCCGGUAGUGGGGAACAACCAACCGAAAGGUUGGCUAAUACCGCAUACGUUCUACGGAAGAAAGCGGGGGACCGGUAAGGCCUCGCGCUAUCGGAUGAGCCCAAGUCGGAUUAGCUAGUUGGCGGGGUAAUGGCCCACCAAGGCGACAAUCCGUAGCUGGUCUGAGAGGACGACCAGCCACACUGGGACUGAGACACGGCCCAGACUCCUACGGGAGGCAGCAGUGGGGAAUAUUGGACAAUGGGGGCGAACCCUGAUCCAGCGACGCCGCGUGUGUGAAGAAGGCCUGCGGGUUGUAAAGCAC